CCUCUUUUUCAUUUUAGUUUUUUUUCUUAUUUUAAUACGUGUUUUUUGCUUUUCUUAAUUCAACUUGUAUUUUUAAAAUUUUUGCUCAAAUCUGAUGCCAUUUUCUUUCCUUUUCUCCUCAUAAUGAAUUAAAAUUAAAAUAUCCUCUUUUUUUAUUUGUUUUUAAAAUACUAUCUCCUACUAUUUAAGUAAUUUAUUAUUAUUCUCUGCACAUUUAGGGAGACUAUAUAUGGAACAUAUUAAAAUUUAUAUAGAACAAAAUAUAAAUUUAGGGAGAUCAUAUAUGGAGCAUAUUAAGACUUAUAUAUGGAACAAAAUAAAUGAAUCAUUCUUUGUAUAUUGAACUUUAAUUUUGGCAAUAUUAUAUAUAUGAAGUUUUUUUUUUUGAUAUCUCUAUUUUUCUUAUCCCUCUCUGUUUCUUUUCAUUUUUCUUUCUCUCCUUGAUUACUCUACAUAUUUUCUUUUUGUCUCUUCCUAAUUUUAUGCAAAAUUCCUCAAUAUCAAUACUUUCUUAAAAUAUUGUCACUUUUUCCCCAUACAAAUUCAAAGUAUUUCAAUGAAAAAAAAAGAACAUAAGAAGAAAAAUAAUAACAUUCAUACAAGAGUUUGAGUUGGAAAUUAUACCUAUCAAAUUAACCGUAUGUAUAUUUAGGCUAAAACUUCUUUAAAAGUUUCAAUUCAUGUCUCUUUUUUUCUUCUUG
rnacentral:lncRNA from 1 species